GAUGAACGCUGGCGGCGUGCCUAAUACAUGCAAGUCGAACGAAACUUCUUUAUCACCGAGUGCUUGCACUCACCGAUAAAGAGUUGAGUGGCGAACGGGUGAGUAACACGUUGGCAACCUGCCCAAAAGAGGGGGAUAACACUUGGAUACAGGUGCUAAUACCGCAUAACCAUAGUUACCGCAUGGUAACUAUGUAAAAGGUGGCUAUACUACCGCUUUUGGAUGGGCCCGCGGCGCAUUAGCUAGUUGGUAGGGUAAAGGCUUACCAAGGCAAUGAUGCGUAGCCGAAUUGAGAGGUUGAUCGGCCACAUUGGGACUGAGACACGGCCCAAACUCCUACGGGAGGCAGCAGUAGGGAAUCUUCCACAAUGGGCGAAAGCCUGAUGGAGCAACGCCGCGUGGGUGAAGAAGGUCUUCGGAUCGUAAAACCCUGUUGUUAGAGAAGAAAGUGCGUGAGAGUAACUGUUCACGUUUCGACGGUAUCUAACCAGAAAGCCACGGCUAACUACGUG
rnacentral:rRNA from 1 species